UUUAUGGAGAGUUUGAUCCUGGCUCAGGAUGAACGCUGGCGGCGUGCCUAAUACAUGCAAGUCGAGCGAACGGACGAGAAGCUUGUUUCUCUGAUGUUAGCGGCGGACGGGUGAGUAACACGUGGAUAACCUACCUAUAAGACUGGGAUAACUUCGGGAAACCGGAGCUAAUACCGGAUAAUAUUUUGAACCGCAUGGUUCAAAAGUGAAAGACGGUCUUGCUGUCACUUAUAGAUGGAUCCGCGCUGCAUUAGCUAGUUGGUAAGGUAACGGCUUACCAAGG
rnacentral:rRNA from 1 species